rnacentral:lncRNA from 1 species
UCCACCCAUGAUUACCUCUUUCCAGCCCAUGGCCACUCCCUCAUCUCUAACUCCCAACGUUCUAAUCCUCGUAGAAGUUAUAAAACACACCCUCACAUCUAUAUAAUACACAUUAAUAAAAGGGAGAGGGAUUGGGAUUUUUGGGGGGAAGAAGGAAAAAAUUUGGAAACAAUAAGGAAAAAGUAACAGAAGGAAAAGGAAAAGAAGGCCAGGAAGUAAAACAAGAAAAGAGGAAAAAGGGAAAGGAUUCGGCAAUCUAACAAAUCCAAAGAUGCACAUUAGUUUCUAAAUUUGUUCUUCUCUCGUUCGAGUUCAUCGGUGCCGUUUGAAUAUUGUUAUUGAUCCACGGUUUUGUCAGCAUUCGACAGUUGGUUCUUGUCAGGAUUUUGAAGUCGAAAACAAUGUAUCGAUAGAUUACUUCUAUUGUUAUUAAGGAAAUCUUUGCUUGAACAUGUUUAUUCCUCUCCUCUAUUGUUUAUUUAGUCAUUUUCUGUUACUAUGGUGAAUUGAGGUUUUGGAAAUGCCAUUUUUAGAGUGUAGUUGUGUUCAUGUUCUUCACUUUAAUGUUUGGAUCUCUGAUUUGCGUGAAUUUGCCUUUGAUUAUAUUAAAAUAUCGAAACAGUAAUACUUGCCUUCACUUUCUUAUCCUAAACAUGGAAUAUGCAGGAAAGGGAUCAUUUUUAGGCAACUACUCAGUGACCUCAAAUUAAGAAAGACUUGUGUCCAGAGUUAAACUACUAGUUUAUAAUAUGCCUCAAAACAUUUUUUUGUUCUUAGUUGAUUUCAUUUUAUUUUUAUUUAAAUGAUAGUUGAAAUUGGGUAGAUGACAAUAUCAUAUGAUAGAGUUGCUUUCUUAAUGAUUCAAGUUUAAUAGCAAAAUAC